CUUUUUGUUGCUAUUGUGAAUGGAACCUGUUUUUUUCCCUCCUUAUCAUACUUUCUGUUUUCAAAAUAAUUGGUUUAUUGACUUUUUUUUUUUUUAACAUAUUGACCUUGCAUCAUUGGUUCUAAUAGUUUUCAGCUGAUUUUCUUGGAUUUUCUAGGUAACUGACCAUGUUAUCUGGAAACAGAAACCACUGAGUCUCUUCAUUUCUGUUUUGUCUGGGCUCUUUCAGUACACACACUUGGGAUUACUCACCUGGGAGCGAGACCUGAGUUCUGGUGCAAGCCUUCUAUUUACUGACCUGGGUGAUGCAAAUCUCUUAACCUCAGAGGUAAAAUGAGGGGGCUGUUGCCUCUGACUCCGUGCUUCUGCAGUUUAAUUAUAAUUAACUCAAACGUUUGAUGAGCUCUUUAAAAAUUAAAAAAAAAAAAAUGGUUGGUGGCUUUAAUAAGUUUGUACCACUGGGCCCUGAGUCGUAUUUUUGAAGUAAUAUAAGACAGGGAGAGAGGGUUGAGAGGUCCCUUCCAUUAUAUGAAUUUCCUAUUGAAUGUGUUAGUUUGAGAUAGCACCUGCCUAGUGUUAGGGGUCUAUAGAUACUACUUGAAUUAGGGAAGGUAGUGAUUAGGAUAAUGAAAUUUUUUUAAUUUGAAAAAACAACAAAGCCAAACAGAAACGAGUUUCUAAUUUUAUUGCAAAUAACUUGCAGGACUGAAAAUGAUUAAAGUUGUCAUACAUUUCUACAUUGAUAAGCCCUGUGCCAAGGGAUCAGAUACAACACAGUAAUCUACCAAGAUGAAAAAGAGUACCAUUGUUAACAGCUUAUUUUAAGGGUUGUAGAGGUUUAAAUGAAUUUGCUUUGUUUCUUUGUCUUUUAUUCUAAGAAGCUGUCUCUGAGGGGUUUAUGCAGGAAAUAGAUGUGAUCACCUUUGUGAUGUGUUAAAUUAGUAGCAAAUUUAACUUUAGGAUGAAAAAUCAUACUGGAUGCAGAAAUAGACAUUCAAAGAACCACAUACUAGUUGCAGGUUAGACAUAAUAUAUAAAAGUUAUUUUUAUAAUGAUUUUUAAAUUUGGAAUUAUUAAGAUUACACUUUUUUUUAAGUGUAACUGAGAGAAGCAAGAGCAAUGUAUUUGUGAUCGAAUUUAAGUCAGCUGCAUGAUAUUUGUAUAUCUACAUGUGAAAGUUUAAAUAUAAUGACAUUGUCUAUAUAAUGCAUAUAUAGUACACACACGCCUAUGUAGUUAGAAUCCUUAUCUAUUCCAUAGGAAGAAAAUGCUGUGUUAAAAUGUCUCUAGCAUUGAGUUACCUCUAAAGAAAUCAUAUUGUUUUGUUUUUGUUACUU
rnacentral:lncRNA from 1 species